rnacentral:lncRNA from 1 species
CCGGACGGGGGCGAGCACGUGCCUGAUGCAAUUCGGGAGUUGUCGGUGGGGGCGCUGACGGGGAUAGGAGAGAAGGCUGGGCGAGGAGGGGAGGUAUCUUAAAGGGCCAGCGCGUGAGAGCGGCCUCAGGUGGAGCACAUGGGACCCGGCCACGCGGCCUGCCGGGCCUGCUCGUGCUCUUUAGGCUGGGUGUCAGAUUCAGGGGAAGGAGCCAUUAGUGUCAUUCCUGACUUCUAGGAGGCCGAAGGGAGGACCCUCAUCCGCCCCGAGGACGCGCCAACGCCGCCCCCUCCCCUGUGCCCGGCGGGCCUGGCCCCUUCGGUCCCCGCCCGGGUGACCUUGGUUGGGUGAGCCGUCCGCACCUCAGUGGGUUGUGCUCCGCGCCUCGCCGCCGCUGGGCCUGGCCUCGACACUACCCGGAGAUGGGUUCAACUCCGGGCCUGGAAAGCGAGUCUUUAGCCCUUGCGGGCAGCCGGCGCCUAGGAAGUGGGAACGGAAUUACUAAAGCCCUCACCCAGGCCAGGCCCUUCUCCCCGCCGCGAAACCUUGUAUUUAUGGGCAGGAAAUGUCUUUUCUUUCAAGUGGAUGUCGUUUUUUUUCUAAAGAAUUGCUUUGGGCGGAGUUGAACCGUCCCUGGAUUGGGACUUCUGAGAUCUGAGAUUUUAUCCUGGCCCUGCCCCCUUACCAUCUCUGCAGCAGUGACUUCCAGCUUCGUGGGCCUCAGUUUCUCUAUUGUAAAAUGAAGGAGCAGUGUAUGACAGCAGUUUCAAACUUCAGUGUACAUUCGAUUCAAUACUUACUGACCUCGUACUGUGGGGGCCUUGCAGGGUUCUAGGAAACGGGUUUGGUAUAAACUAGGCUAACAAAGUCCCUAUCCUCAUGGAAUUUAUUCUAAGGUGGGGAAAGAGACAAUAAACAAGUAAUAAAUUAUUGUCUAGUAUCUAUGAAGACAAUAGUUAAACUGUGGUAAUCAGUUAGACUAGAUGGGCUACUUUUGUUUGGGUGAUAAGGGAAGACUUCUUUGAACGCAGAUGCCAAAGUAUUAGGAAUCAGGCUCGGUCUGGGACUGGACCCAGAAAUCUGCGUGUCUAGCAAGAUCCCUUUGGUGCUUAUGACUUCACUUGGAGAAGUCCUGGCUUCUGACUGGCUGUGAUCCCACGUGCUCACAUAACAUAACAGCCUGGAAUGUUGGCCAUCUCCAAAACAAGAAUUAGAGCACACGACCUGCUGGAUCUAGGAGAAGACUGAAUGAAAAGCCUCUUGGAACUGCCCCAGCCAGCAAAGCUGAGCUGUAGGAUUGUUGUAACCAGUAUGGGGGAGAAGUACUGGUAGGGAUAGCCAGAUGAAGAAACCAAAGUUCAGAAAAGUGAAGUCCAAGGCCGGGCACAGUGGCUCAAACCUGUAAUCCCGGCACUUUGGGAGGCUGAGGCAGGCAGAUCACCUGAGGUCAUGAGUUCAAGACCAGCCUGGCCAACAUGGCGAAACACUGUCUGUACUAAAAAUACAAAAAUUAGCUGGGCAUGGUGGCGCACACCUGUAAUCCAAGCUACUCAGGAGGCUGAGGCAUGAAAAUUGCUUGAACCCAGGUGGCGGAGGUUGCAGUAAGCCGAGAUCACCCCACUGCACUCCAUCCUAGGUGACAGAGCAAAACUCCAUCUCAAAAAAAGAAAAGAAAAGAAAAAGGAAGAAAAAGAAAAGUAAAGUUCCUUAUCCAAAGUCACACAGCAGAGCCAGACAGAGCUAGGUCUCAUACCUGAAUCUCUUUAUCCUAAAUCCAGUAGUUUUUUCUACAUUAAAAUAAUGAAACUGGGGCUGGGCAUAGUGACUCACACCUGUAAUCCUAACACUUUGAAAGGCCAAAGCAGGAGGAUCACUUGAACCUAGGAGUUAGAGAUCAGCCUGGACAACACAGUGAGACCCUGUCUCUAUUUUUUUUAAGUUUUAAUAAAAAAAUGAUGGAAUUGGGAUUUGAAUUCAGGUUUUUUUGAUUCCUAACCAACUAUGGUAUUUUAUAUGCAUAUAUUUCUAAAUACAGUCAUCCUCCCUUAUCCCAGUGCAUGCCUGAAACCCCAAAUAGUACCAAACUCUAUAUAUACUAUGUUUUUCCUAUAUAUACUUACCUAUAAUAAAGUUUAAUAUAUAAAUUAGGCACAGUAAGAGAUAAACAACAAUAAAUAAUAAAAUAGAACAAUUAUAACCAUAGACAGUAAUAAAAUUUAUGUGACUGUGCUCUUUCUCUCUCAAAACAUCUUAUUGUAUGUAAUAUUUUCUGACCACAGUUGGCCACAGGUAACUGAAACAUCAGGAAGCAAAACCACAGAUAAGAGGGG